rnacentral:misc_RNA from 1 species
GAUGAAGAACGUAGCGAAAUGCGAUAAGUAAUGUGAAUUGCAGAAUUCAGUGAAUCAUCGAAUCUUUGAACGCACAUUGCGCCACUUGGUACUCCGGGGGGCAUGCCUGUUCGAGCGUCAUUUCAACCCUCAAGCUCUGCUUGGUAUUGGGCUCCGUCCUCCUCGGACGCGCCUCAAAGACCUCGGCGGUGGCGUCUUGCCUCAAGCGUAGUAGAAACACCUCGCUUUGGAGUGCAUGGCGUCGCCCGCCGGACGAAACCUUUUGUAUUUUCUCAAAGGUUGACCUCGGAUCAGGUAGGGAUACCCGCUGAACUUAAGCAUAUCAAUAAGCGGAGGA